CCUACGGGGGGCAGCAGUGGGGGAUAUUGCACAAUGGGGGGAACCCUGAUGCAGCGACGCCGCGUGAGGGAAGACGGCCUUCGGGUUGUAAACCUCUGUCGCAGGGGACGAAGGAGAUGACGGUACCCUGUGAGGAAGCCACGGCUAACUACGUGCCAGCAGCCGCGGUAAUACGUAGGUGGCGAGCGUUGUCCGGAAUUACUGGGUGUAAAGGGAGCGUAGGCGGGAUAUUAAGUUGAAUGUAUAAACUACCGGCUUAACCGAUAGAAGCGUUCAAAACUGAUAUUCUUGAGUGAAGUAGAGGC
rnacentral:rRNA from 1 species